CUGAGAGGGUGACCGGCCACAUUGGGACUGAGACACGGCCCAAACUCUUACGGGAGGCAGCAAUGGGGAAUGUUGCACAAUGGGGGAAACCCUGAUGCAGCGACGCCGCGUGAGCGAUGAAGUAUUUCGGUAUGUAAAGCUCUAUCAGCAGGAAGAAAAUGACGGUACCUGACUAAGAAGCACCGGCUAAAUACGUGCCAGCAGCCGCGGU
rnacentral:rRNA from 1 species